GAUGAACGCUGGCGGCGUGCUUAACACAUGCAAGUCGAACGAGAAGUGAAGACGGAAACUUUCGGGCGGAAGGCUUUAUUUCGAGUGGCGGACGGGAGAGUAACGCGUGGGUAACCUGCCUCAUACAGGGGGAUAACAGUUGGAAACGACUGUUAAUACCGCAUAAGACCACAGCAACGCAUGGUGCGGGGGUAAAAACUCCGGUGGUAUGAGAUGGAUCCGCGUUCGAUUAGCCAGUCGGCGGGGUAACGGCCCACCAAUGCGACGAUCGAUAGCCGAUCUGAGAGGAUGGCCGGCCACUUUGAGGGUGGGACGCGGCCCAAACUCCUGCGGGAGGCAGCAGUGGGGAAUAUUGCACUAUGGGGGAAGCCCUGAUGCAGCGACGCCGCGUGAGUGAAGUAGUAUUUCAGUAUGUAAAGCUCUAUCAGCAGGGGAGAAAAUGACGGUACCUGAGUAAGAAGCCCCGGCUAACUACGUG
rnacentral:rRNA from 1 species